rnacentral:misc_RNA from 1 species
AACGCACGAGACCUGCGGACCUGCGGAAGGAUCAUUACUGAGGAGGGUCCAUGGCCCGAUCUCCAACCCUUUGAUAAAAACACCAUGUUGCUUUGGCAGGCCCGCCCGUUGGGGCCGCGGGGGAUCGCCGGUCCCUAGCCCGUGCCUGCCGGUAGCCUUCACAAAACUCUCAAAAUGUUGUCGUCUGAGAUGAUUAGAAUAAUAAAACUUUCAACAACGGAUCUCUAGAUCGGAAGAGCA